ensembl:lncRNA TTN-AS1 TTN antisense RNA 1
GAUCUGAAGGUGGACUGAACUUUCCAGGUCCAGCUGCAUUUUCAGCACAUACUCUGAAGACAUAGGUCCAGCAAGAUUUUCAGCCAACACACGGAAUCUGUAUUUUUUCUUAUUAGUGAGACCUUUCACUCUGAAUUAGGAACAAAGUGCAUGUGUAUCAUCAUGCUGAUUGAGAAACUUACCAAACUGAUAUUUGGCUGUUAUUGGAGAGGCCUGAACUGGUUCACCAACACCAUACAUGUUUUCUGCAGCAACUCUGAAGAUGUACUCUUUAUUGGGGAUUAAUUUGGUGGCCUUGAAGUUUGUGUUUAUCACCCUGGACAACAACCAUGUUAUUUCUUAGCCAUUGGACUUCCACCUUAUCUUUAUUGAGUUCUGCUAAAAAGACAACAUCAGCACCAGGGGCUUCAAGAAUAUCUUGUGGAGGCCUGAUGAUCUCAACAGGAAUUUCUGGAAAGAAAAUGUGAAAUAAAUACAAAUAUGUUUACAUUUUGAUUAACAAUUUUAAAAAAUUGGUAACAUUAGAAUUGUUUUUUCACUUAAUAUGUACCUUCCACAAAAAGUCUAGCACGAGACUUCCUGUCUUCUACCCCGCAAGCAUAUUCACACUCAUCAUCCAGCCUGCAAUCUUUUAUAAUGAGUCUGUGUAUACUUCCAUCUUUUUCAAAUUUGUAUCUAAAGGAGACAUUGGAUUAUCAGUUAGCUUGCAAUGAUGGCCACUAAAUUGUCAAAAGUGUAUAUAUAGCUACAGAAAUAGAGAAUAAAAAGAUCUUGCUUACUUUUU